rnacentral:rRNA from 1 species
GGUUUAUGAAUUAUAAUUUUUAUUUUAUUUAUUUUUAGAAUUUUAUUUCUAAGUAAAAAAGCUUAGUUUUUUUUUUGGGACNAAAAGACCCUAUAGAACUUAAUUAAUUUAAUUUAUUAUUUAUUUUUUGUUUAAUAACACUAAGUUAAUAUUUAUAUUUGUUUGAUUGGGGCGAUUAUUAAGAAUAAUAAAACUUUAUUUCUUUUUUUCAUUUAUUUAUGAUUUAUUGAUCCAAUUUUUAUUGAUUAAAAGAUUAAGUUACCUUAGGGAUAACAGCGUAAUUNUAAGGGGGAGUUCUUAUUUAUAUUAAAGUUUGCCACCUCAAUGUUGAAAAA